CCUACGGGCGGCAGCAGUGGGGAAUAUUGCACAAUGGGGGAAACCCUGAUGCAGCGACGCCGCGUGAGUGAAGAAGUACUUCGGUAUGUAAAGCUCUAUCAGUAGGGAAGAAGAAAGACGGUACCUAACGAAGAAGCCCCGGCUAACUACGUGCCAGCAGCCGCGGUAAUACGUAGGGGGCAAGCGUUAUCCGGAUUUACUGGGUGUAAAGGGUACGUAGACGGCUGCUCAAGUCUGAAGUGAAAGCCUAGGGCUCAACCCUGGGAGUGCAGUGGAAACUGGGGAGCUAGAGUGCAGGAGAGGUGAGUGGAAUUCCUAGUGUAGCGGUGAAAUGCGUAGAUAUUAGGAGGAACACCAGUGGCGAAAGCGGCUUACUGGACCGUAACUGACGUUGAGGCUCGAAAGCGUGGGGAGCAAACAGGAUUAGAUACCCCAGUAGUC
rnacentral:rRNA from 1 species